CUGCCGAAACAACCGAAAUAUUUCAAUAUUUACAAGUAUAAGCUAUCACAUGAUGUUUAAAUGGCCACCAUUUUUAUUUUUUUCAACAUAAUCAGCAAUAUGGUACCUUACUUCCCAUCCCCCCAUGACACAUAAACUAAAAGCUGGAAUUGCGAUUUUUUGAAAAUCCAACUAAUUAAUAUUUCACUGAUUUCCAAAAAAUUUGGUAUUCACAAUAAUAUUUUUCCCACAUAUUAGAAGUUUUUUCCCAAUGAUAUUUCCUCCCACUAUUUUAAUUUUGUCAUUGUCUGUGCCCAAAAAAUGGAAAGAGAUUGUCCCAAAUUCUGGUGCCCCCCCCCCCCAGCUUGUACGCCAAUGACAGCAAUGAUACAUGGAGUUUCAAUUCCUAACACCAAUGCAUAAUUCCAAUGCAAAUAAGCCAUAUUUAUGAUUACACUUUACAAUAUUGAGGUUGAUUGUAAUGUGUAUUUGACCAUUGUCGCACGUUUUCUGCUUCUGCUUUAUUAUUUUAC